rnacentral:misc_RNA from 1 species
GGAAGAUUAAGGGAUCGUGAAUCGACUUACUUGUGCGCGGCUGUUUUAGAGCCAUCGCCGCAAGAAUAAGGGGCCUGAAACGUCUUACUGACGUGACCCGACUCGAUAUUUCUGCACAUCAUAGCCUCAUGGCGAGGUCGCACUUUCUAACAGGGCUUCUCAACUAAACUGAGUCGACUACAAGGUAUCUUCGAUGGACAACAUACAAUGUAGGAGUUUCCAACAAAAGCCUCACCAUUUCAGCACUCCUCCAGCAUGCAACACUAUGUACCAAG